GAAACAGGAACCAGCUCUCUUGUCUGCUGAGAUGCUAAGGAGGCAAGAACCCCAGAAAUCCUCAGAGGCAACCAUGAGCUCUACCCCAGCAGAACGAAUUCUUAUAAGACACCUGAAGUUGGAUGUGUACAACCAGAUGUCAAGCCCACAAUGCUCAUUUCACCUAUCAAAGAGGACAUGUGUUCUUGACUGCACAAUGUUAGUCGUCACUGUUCACCGUAUGUGAAGCCAGAGAUCACAGCUGUAAGAGAACAUCUUCCGCUUUCAUCCUCAGUCAUUCUGGACUUAUGAUCCCCAUCUCACCGGGAUCAUGUCACGUCUCUCUCACUUUAGGUACGCGUCACUCUUCAGUAGAAUGGCUUUGGCACUUUGCCUUUCCGUUAAUAUCUACUACAGGCUUUUUGCUAGUUGUUGCACCCUUCCCCUAUGGGAGUCUGCUGCCCCAGCUUGUGACUAGGAGCUUCUAGCAAAACACCUCUUUAUCCCCUCCUCCCAGUAAGGCCUGCAUGCAAGUUCCUGUUUUCUGUAAAUACUAAUUCCUGUUAUGCACCCAUCCUUUGCCAGAGGGCCCUGGGAACUUAGGCUUCUGACCUUGGUGGUUUUCCACCCCGCCUGACUGGUAUAUGAGGCUCCGCUCUUGUUAAAAAUAAAUGCCAUUCUCCUUGCAAGAA